rnacentral:lncRNA from 1 species
AAAACGAAUCAGACAACAUUGAUUUAGAGUUUAGAGCCAAAAUUUAUCCCAACGAUUGGGGGCUUUCUCUUACAGUUCAAGCUCGCCCGUUGGUUUUUGAAAGACCGGUUUGUGUAAAAAAUGUUGAAAAAAACUUGAGGGAAGAGAUGAACCCACUUCUAGGAUUAAGGGCAAUGUCUUUAGACUAUCGAUCGCAAAGAUCAGGCUUUUACAAG